rnacentral:sRNA from 1 species
GGUGAGGACAUUUUGGCACCGUUUUGGUGAGCGGACGUCUUUUGCCUUUUGAAAGGUGAAGGAAAAUG